rnacentral:rRNA from 1 species
UACGAACUGUGCAAACGUUAUUCGGAAUCACUGGGCUUAAAGGGUGCGUAGGCGGCUUGUUAAGUAGGGCGUGAAAGCCCCCGGCUCAACCGGGGAAUUGCGCUCUAAACUGGCGAGCUUGAGUGAGAUAGGGGUGUGUGGAACUUCCGGUGGAGCGGUGAAAUGUGUUGAUAUCGGAAGGAACGCCAGUGGCGAAAGCGACACACUGGGUCUCAACUGACGCUGAGGCACGAAAGCCAGGGGAGCAAACGGG